UACAGAGGUCUCAAGCGUUGUUCGGAUUCAUUGGGCGUAAAGGGUGCGUAGGCGGCGCGGUAAGUCGGGUGUGAAAUCUCGGGGCUUAACUCCGAAACUGCAUUCGAUACUGCCGUGCUUGAGGACUGGAGAGGAGACUGGAAUUUACGGUGUAGCGGUGAAAUGCGUAGAUAUCGUAAGGAACACCAGUGGCGAAGGCGGCUCACUGGCCCGGUACUGACGCUGAUGUGCGAAAGCGUGGGGAGCAAACAGG
rnacentral:rRNA from 1 species